UACGUAGGGGGCAAGCGUUGUCCGGAUUUAUUGGGCGUAAAGAGCGUGUAGGCGGCCAUGUAGGUCCGUUGUGAAAACUCGAGGCUCAACCUCGAGACGCCGAUGGAAACCAUGUGGCUAGAGUCCGGAAGAGGAGAGUGGAAUUCCUGGUGUAGCGGUGAAAUGCGCAGAUAUCAGGAAGAACACCCGUGGCUAAGGCGGCUCUCUAGUACGGUACUGACGCUGAGACGCGAAAGCGUGGGGAGCAAACAGG
rnacentral:rRNA from 1 species